rnacentral:rRNA from 1 species
GACGAACGCUGGCGGCGUGCCUAAUACAUGCAAGUAGAACGCACAGUUUAUACCGUAGCUUGCUCCACCAUAGACUGUGAGUUGCGAACGGGUGAGUAACGCGUAGGUAACCUGCCUGGUAGCGGGGGAUAACUAUUGGAAACGAUAGCUAAUACCGCAUAAUAUUGAUUAUUGCAUGAUAAUUGAUUGAAAGAUGCUAUUGCAUCACUACCAGAUGGACCUGCGUUGUAUUAGCUAGUAGGUGAGGUAACGGCUCACCUAGGCGACGAUACAUAGCCGACCUGAGAGGGUGAUCGGCCACACUGGGACUGAGACACGGCCCAGACUCCUACGGGAGGCAGCAGUAGGGAAUCUUCGGCAAUGGACGAAAGUCUGACCGAGCAACGCCGCGUGAGUGAAGAAGGUUUUCGGAUCGUAAAGCCCUGUUGUAAGAGAAGAACGGGUGUGAGAGUGGAAAGUUCACACUGUGACGGUAUCUUACCAGAAAGGGACGGCUAACUACGUG